ensembl:snRNA U6 U6 spliceosomal RNA
AUGCUCACUUCGGCAGCACAUAUACUAAAAUUGCAACGAUACGGAGAAGAUUAGCAUGACCUCCCCAAAAAGAAUAAACAAAUAAAUUUGU